AGUCCCAUCAACAAGCAAGGAGUGUGACGGAAACGAUGAGAGUCUCACAUUUAAUUAGAGAUUUUGUGUGUAAUUUCUUUUUAAAAAUCUUUUCUUAGGAAGUGUUUUCUCUUUUUGUAGGUCUUAUUAGAAGUGCAAAUUUGAAUUAAUGGGUCAGUAAGCAAUAUGAAUUUGAAUUAAUCAGUGAGUGAGUUUUUGAACAUAUGAUAAAAAAGAAAGAGAGAUCCCGGCCCGCAUGUUAGUUGAAACAGGGUCUACCUAUCUCCAAUAAAAUACUACCAAGUAAUGAUCAUAUAUAGUAGCUUUCCAUUUCAAUGGUGUAGAAAGCUAAACCAAGGGAAAGGAUUCCUGCAGUCCAAGUUAAGCAGUAGUGGUCCUAACCGGAGUGCUUUCCAAAAAUGGUUCUUUCUUUUCUUUUACUUCGCAUAUUAGGGUAUAUCUUUGAGUGACGGAAAUCAAAUGAUGAUUACUUAGUUGAUGCUCAUAAUGUGUCUCUACUUAUAUGUCUCUAUAGCAGUGAAACUUGUGUGGCAGUCGCUUUGACUGACAUGUACUAACGAUAUCGAAUUGCCAUUGGAGGAAAACAAGUGUUAAAGUACUGAGGUGUGAAGACCAACCCAGAUCGGCUUUUUGGAUUUUCAUCGACCCUCAAGUCAUUACUUUCUAAAAGAAACUAAUGUCUUUAAUUGGGAUGGAUGACAAUGAACUUGAAGUGGAUGGAAAAGCUAUUGAGAUGUGGAAAAGCAUGUCAAAGGAGGUACUUCAUUUGGAUCUAUUGAUGGAAACUGUGUUCCCAUGGAUGCCGAGAAAAAUCUCUUGAGACAAAAAUGGUACGUUCCAUGCUCUUCUACUGUCCAACAUCUCUGGACUGAUACAUGGGACCUUCAUGAUUAUGGAAGGCAAGUCAAGAUGUGGCUAUUGUGAGCAGUACGUAGUUAUUCUAGAAGUUAAUGGUAAUGUAUAAAUAGUAUAUUUUGAAAAGUGCAUGUUCAUUUGAUGGACUUCAAGAAUCAUAUGGUUGUAUUUUGGAAAUGAUAGUGGAUCAUGAAUUCAUUUCAUGGGCAAAAAGAAAUACACGUACCUAUUUUGGAGAUAA